rnacentral:pre_miRNA from 1 species
AGAGGUUGCCCUUGGUGAAUUCGCUUUAUGUAUGUUGAAUCACACAAAGGCAACUUUUGU